AACGCACCACGCGCUCCGAAUCUCGGUCGCGCUCAGCCAUUUGCUUCGUGAGGACCUACGUGCGACAACGUGACAGCGUUCCUGAGGCAGCUCGUGCACUGCGGGCCUCGUCGCGCUGCUCUUGGUUAACCGUCAAGUUCACCGGAACAAACCACCUCGGUGACAGUCCUCUGGGAAGCCUAAUCUGUGCGCCACGAAGCGCGUCUGUUUCGCAGCCGAGGAUCCACAUCAGCGCACCUGGGGCGAGACGGGCGGACUGACAGUGCUUACUUGGCCGGUGGUGACUCUGGAAUGGCAGCGACCCACGGAAAGUUGCAGGGCCUGGUCCUCACUGGGUUGCACACCCGGCAUUGGCUGUGGUCUUGGGACUGUCUGGGACCUUGAGACUGGUAGGAACUUCUGGACAGACAGCGACCCCUUGAGAGCGAGCCACCCCCGGACGGAUGAGGCUCUGGUACGGCGGAGGGCAGAAAACUGGCGUCAACACCAUAGGGGCCAAUGGCGCCUCCUGAAGCAGCUGUUUGUUGUUGAAGCUCAUCUUGCUCCACCUCUGCUGACUUGCCGUUCUCGACGCUUGCCACAGCAAAGACUUGCCUCCUACAGUACCCGACACUUUCGAUCCCACACCUUCGAGCCCACGCGUCUUCUAGCAAUCCGAAAACCGCAACCCUGAGGAGGCCCUGCCCCACCAGCCUCACCGCCGAGCCUACACAACCAGCGAGUCCAUCUCGAGAGAGACAUACAUCUGAUUGGACGAAAGAAAAUGAAAAAGACUCCGGAGUUGUCUGCACUACCUUCUCAACGGAAAUGCUACAACAUAUGGCCGGCUGGCCAUGUGAAACGUAAACACUACGGGAAAAAGCAACACGAUUUCGUGAAAAUACCGAACUUGUGAUAGUGGCACACCUGCCCAUUAAUAAGGAAUGGUGACGUUUCCCAGACCACCUCACCGUC